AAUACUAAUUACAAUUUUCUUUUUUUAUGUCCUUAGUUUCUUGGUCUUGAUCAUUUAGACCAAGGCUGCAGGGAUCAAAAUUUAAGGUCACCCAUGUGUGCAAUGGUGCUGUUGGCAUACCACAGUGUCAUCACUUAUUACCUUGGAAAUGGUGAAGGAGAUGUUUUGUAUGCCGAGGAAAUUCUUCAACCACAUUUAAAGGCGUUUCCUAAGGGAGCGAUAUUUUUGUACUACGCUGGCCGUAUAAAACAAGUGCAAGGAAAAUUAGAUGAGGUAAGUAUCUGUUCCAGGCAUUCAUGAAAUUAAAUUACUGUUCAAUCUCUUCUCAUCAGUAUCUAUGGAUAUUUUAAGU